rnacentral:rRNA from 1 species
GACGAAGGGGGCAAGCGUUGUUCGGAAUUACUGGGCGUAAAGGGCGCGUAGGCGGUUCUUUAAGUCAGGCGUGAAAGCCCUGGGCUCAACCUGGGAGUGGCGCUUGAUACUGGAGGACUAGAGAGUGGGAGAGGUUAGUGGAAUUCCCAGUGUAGAGGUGAAAUUCGUAGAUAUUGGGAAGAACACCGGUGGCGAAGGCGGCCAACUGGACCAUUUCUGACGCUGAGGCGCGAAAGCGUGGGGAGCAAACAGG